rnacentral:rRNA from 1 species
GAUGAACGCUGGCGGCGUGCUUAACACAUGCAAGUCGAACGGUGAACGAGGGAGCUUGCUCCCUCCGGAUCAGUGGCGAACGGGUGAGUAACACGUGAGCAAUCUGCCCUGGACUCUGGGAUAAGCGUUGGAAACGACGUCUAAUACCGGAUACGAGGCGUGGGGGCAUCCCCAACGCCUGGAAAGAACUUCGGUCCAGGAUGAGCUCGCGGCCUAUCAGCUUGUUUGUGAGGUAACGGCUCACCAAGGCAACGACGGGUAGCCGGCCUGGGAGGGUGACCGGCCACACUGGGACUGAGACACGGCCCAGACUCCUACGGGAGGCAGCAGUGGGGAAUAUUGCACAAUGGGCGCAAGCCUGAUGCAGCAACGCCGCGUGAGGGACGACGGCCUUCGGGUUGUAAACCUCUUUUAGCAGGGAAGAAGCGAAAGUGACGGUACCUGCAGAAAAAGCACCGGCUAACUACGUGCCAGCCGCCGCCGUAAUAC